rnacentral:lncRNA from 1 species
GAAUGUUUUUAAACGGACAAACGCGUGGAAACCUGCUCGGCUCGGCUCGGCUCAGCUCGGCAGAGCUUCUGCAGCUUUUCACGUUACGGUGCAAAAAUAAAAGAGAAGAAAAUCAAACUCCAAACCAAACGAAGCUGUUCGACGGCUCAAAUCCCGUCAUACGUUGCGGUCCGCUGUGCGUUUGGCACGCGCCCCAGAGGAUCUAAGAACCCCCUAUCUCACUCACGCACGCACGCACGGAAUUGAAGGUAAUCGAGAUUUUACAUUCUGAACACACGAGUGAAAGGGAAAGUAGAGGUUUGAUGCUUCACUUUUCUCCGCGGAGAGGUGAACUUUAUAUCGAACAUUUAUUAACACUUUGUGGCCUGUCCCCCCCUCCCACCCCUCCCUCCUCCUCUCAGUCUCUCCUCUAAGGCUGGAGGACUCCAUUUUGAAUAGACCGGGUGUGCAGCCAGAGCUUGAGCUGCAACUGCUCUCAUGAAGGGAAAGCGUUCUGUUGUUCCGGUUUCUCUCUCUGCCUCCAGCCUCUCUUUAUCUGCAUCUCAGCGUCUUCUGGGUGCUGGUGGUCAGGAGGAAGAUGACAGUUGUGGGCAAAAAGUUUGCAUUAUGACAUAUCAGAGGGAAGACUUACGGCCCCCUCUGUGCUCCACGCUGUGGACCGGCUGGGGAGGGAGGCGGUGGUGACGCCUGGCAGCGCGUGCAGCUCAGAGACAUGACUUUGAAGGAGCAGGCAGACUCAGGAAACAGAAGAAGCGCGCGCAUCCAUCUGAGGACCGGGGGAAUGAUAAAGUUGGAGUUAUUUUAGAGCGAAAAAGGGGAGGGGGGUGGGGGGUGUUGGAGCGCAGCAGAUUUUCAAUCCAGGGGCCAGGAUCAGGCUGGACCAGGCUUUAGCGCAUGUAGGGGAGGAGGGAGGCGGCGGCGGUGGUGGAGGGGGGGGCUGAGUUUCACAGGAUACGGGCCUAGUAGUAGAGCCGUUGGGUCUGUGUUCACCCGCCUCCAAAAAACUGGAAAUUCGCACCUUUAAACGUCAAAAUGAGCAGAUCCGAGGUCACGUUCGCGAAGGCCGACACCGGAAUGGUAAGAUUCUCGCGGCGGAGCCCGCGUCACGCGGCAUUUUCCGCGUGAUUUUCUCGUUUUGAUGCACAGACGACGGAGGGAAAGCCCGUGCACGUGGACGCGAGCGAGUAUGUGUGUGUGACAAUGCGCGUGCGUGGAAGCCGUGUGCAGCCGCUCGGCGUUUGUGUCACUCACAGGGGCUAACGCACGCGCUCGUGCACGCACGCACGCGCGCGGGUCUCGCGCCGGUGUGCUAGCUUAAACAGUUAAUUUGCUGCUUCUUUUUUUUUUUUUUUUUUUUUUUGCUUUUUUUUUUUCCUCAGGAGAAGAAACGGCCUCGUUGAGCGCGCACGCGCCGCGUCAUUUUACCGGCUGACCUUAGCGUUGAUGUGGUAAAAGCGGCAUCAAAGGAUUUACAGAUGCGCCGAAUAGAGCUAAAAUGUCACGUUAGGACGAUCCCGGCGACGUUUGUGAGUCUGUUUACGUGUUUAUUUUGGACGUCUCCGCGCUCCUCGCGCGUUUUUGUGUGCUGUGGAUGUAUUCUUGUGUGAAUGCUACCUUAGCAUUGAGACCAUCUUCUGAUUCUUCAAUCUGUAGCAGGCUUGCGGCGUGCUAUAAACCAUUCAAACUUUCAACAUUUUAGCAAACAUUAGCAUUAUUUUCCUGUACUUAGCUUUUAAAAAUAAGCUAUAUUCCUUAUUUAUAAAACUAUAUUAGGUUUGAUCCCAUUAGAUAAAGGAUUUAGAAUCAAUCUAAUGUCGAUAAUCAUAUUCAUUUUAUUUUACAUAUUGAUGUAACUCAAUCUAUUUAUAAAGAGUACAUUAACAUCUAAGCUAGUCUUAGGAUGCUACACAAAAAGUAAAUCAUUUCAAAUGAAAUGUAAUUUAUUAAAAUAGUUAAUUCUGCAUAAUUUUUGAUUCUUUAAGGUUGUGUUCUUGUGUAUUGGAGUACUUGCGGUCACUUCAGGGUUCCACCUUUUGCUGGUUCACUCUUUUGUGGAAGUAUGGCCUUAUCCCAACGAUGACCCUAAUCUUAACCUUAAGUAGUGCAGUGGUAGAAGCACUGAUUGGAAAGACACAAAUGUACAAGUACCUAACAGUCAAAUUUAAUCCAGACCCAAAAUUGUAUUUUGAUAGUUUGUAUAUACUGUAGGUGACCUCAUGGAAGAGUUUUUGGUGUAAUACCAAGCAACAGGUGACUGAGGAGAUCAAAUCUGCCUCUGUCAUGUGAUGUGCGUUCAAGAACGCACUAAACAGGCGUUCUUGAACCCACUUUGAGCAUAUAGUGUUCAUAUUCGUCUGUUGCCACACGGUGCUAG